CCUCCCAUCUUCCUCAAUUCUUCGCGCUCUGCCAGCUCGAUCUACUUCCCACCCCACACCACAUCGACCAGGCCACCACCUCCACCAGCGGUGGAUCGUCGGGAGCAAGAACGGGAUGGACUCUAGAAGCCUUGCGUCACACCAUGCGCCCUCAUCGGCUGGCCAUGGUCGGAGCGUUGGGCGGAUCCGAUUGCUACUUGCUACGGCGGCGCAGGCGCAGGUGGUCGACGGGAGAUCCCUGUGACAGAUGAACUGCGUUCCCAUGCAAUGGAUGGCGGGCCUAGCUCGAGCUCAUCUUUUGAGUGGUGGCCUGAUACUCUACGGCGACAGUCAUUGGUACAUGGUUGUGCGGUUGCUGUUACACAUGAAGCAUCCGUGGAUUCACUGCCAGGAUGGAAGGAACGGGCGGCAGUGGAACAUGAUCUGGGUAUUUGGAACGUCUACAUGAAGGGGGUUCACCUUUUCUCUCUUGGUUCUUUUCUUCUUUCAUGUUUGCUGCAGUUUCAUGCGUGCAAGCAGCCCGGAGAACGUGGAUCAAGUACAAGUAGUAUUGGUAAUUAUGUGUGCAAGCAACGUUCUUUUCCUAAAUUAGACAUAUAUUGUUCUAUAUAUGUAGCUAGCGCUUAUAGAGCAUGAUAGGAUAUAUUUCUUUAUUCUAUAGUUUUUCCAAGAUGAAAUUUGAAGUUUGCGUGUGACCAAACUGAAGACUAAUUACGAGUUCUUCACUAUUUAUGUUUCUCCACCCACCACUGCCUCUACUAUCAAUGUAAAAGUGUUGUGAGUGUCCUAAUUGGUGGCAAGGAAAGAACAGAAAAAAGCCCCUGUGGGCAUUGGAUGUGCAAACUGCUGUCAUAUUUUUGUCGAUUUAUGUGCACUCUAAAUAAAAAUCAGUUUUGCAACACAUCCAUUAAUUUCUGCUCCUUUCCGAAUGCUUAUCUGCUGAAAUCUUUCUAAUCCUGUUUAUAUGGUGUUGUAGAAUAGAUGCAUUUGUCAUUCGCAUCAAUGAAAGAAAUAUUUACAGGCUACUGGAGAGAGGUGGAUGAAUUGUAUUUAGUUUUCUUUGCUAAGAUUUCAGGCUAACAAGCUUAAGGGUCAGAUAGUGUUAAUUAGCACACUAGGAGAUAAUUAAUUGAUGUUGGUCAAGAACUCUCAUUCCUCGAAGACGAGGCGAAAUUUUUACAAGAAUAGGUGAGAUGCUUGCAGCUAGAGCGGGGAGCCAAAUGGACUAAAUCCAUAUGAGGUAUCCACACAUUGCUUUUAGGAAAAAAUACCUAUAGUGUGCAUAAUUGAUCUGUACCUUUCCUAUUCUUUGUUAAUAGGUUGUGUUGUUUCUGGUUAGUUGCAGAUCAAGUGGAGCCGUUGUGUGCACUCAACCCUUUACUACUUUGUGUGUACUAUUUUGUAUUACAGGUUAUCAGGCUUAGCUCUGCUUGCAUAUUCCUUAACUGUUUUGUGUCAGUUUGAUAUGAAUACAUAGCUUACCUUAUGUAUUGGGAACUGAUGUUGAAACCGUUGCUGGGUGAUGUCCAGUUCGAGGAAUGGAUGCAUUUGUGUUUUCAUUCAUGUGUAUAUAGAUCAAUGUUAGUACUAACAUAUUGAGUGACAUCACAUAAUCUUGGCGAUUUUCAACCUUAUCUCAGGCAGCACACAUGGCAUAAUAAAACAUAUCCAGUGAGCAUUGCAUCCGUACCUUGUUCGUUCGUGUCCAUUAUUUAUUUCCAUGAUUUUCAUUCAUCAUGGAUUGCUUAUUUGAUAUCCUAUUUGUUCGGGCGAUGUUUUUGCCUUUUUUUUGUAGGCUCAACUAUUGAUGGACAUGUUCAUAGUGUGGAGGAGACCUUUCUAAACGUUUUAGGUCCGGUGUUUAGUCUUGGUGGAAAGAAAUAACAUAUACAUACGUAAGGUAUUGACGAGGCGCGGCGUGCCGCCGCGCGGGUAUGGCUAGUAAGUAAUGACUAAUGACUUUGCAUCUCCGUGAUCAAAUGUUCAGAGGUGCCAAACGAGACUACGGUCUAAUUUGCCAAACUGUGGGGAAAAAAUACUUCAUUAUAUGAACCGGCGCCAUUUCUGUAGUGACGUCUUCCGAAGCUGUAUGCUCCAACUAGAUGAAACUCUUCAUCAUCAACACUAGAGGGAAAUGCGCGCUUUCUUGUGCCGUUCUUCUGUUGUGAAAUUAGUUCUAUUUUUUCUCCUACUAAGGAUUAUUGUGGCAAUUUGUAUUCCGCUCAUAUAGCUGAGGAGGUAGAGCAAACACCCCCCGCCCCCACGGGUGUAGGGCAGUCCUUGAGUUUUCGAAAUGUUCCAUUCGGUUUUUUCUUUUUCCUUUUUUCUACAAUUUUUUCUUUUCCUGUUUGCUUUUAUAUUUGGUUUCCUUUU